AAAACAAAUUUGUACAAAAGUAAAUUCCCCCGCGGCCUGCUGCCGCCCAGAGUCCCUGCCCCCCCGGCCUGCUUCCGGCCCAGAGUCCAUGCCUUUGCGGCCUGCUGCCGCCUGAAGUCCCUGCCCCCGCGGCCUGCCGCCGCCCGGAGUCCCUGCCCCCGCGGCCUGCCGCCGUCCGGAGUCCCUGCCCCUGCGGCCUGCCGCCGCCCGGAGUCCCUGCCACCGCGGUCUGCCGCCGCCCGGAGUCCCUGCCACCGCGGUCUGCCGCCGCCCGGAGUCCCUGCCACUGCGUUCUGCCUGCCGCCUGGAGUCCCUGCCACCGCGGUCUGCCGCCGCCCGGAGUCCCUGCCACCGCGGUCUGCCGCCGCCCGGAGUCCCUGCCUUUGCGGCCUGCUGCCGCCCGGAGUCCCUGCCCCCGCGGCCUGCCGCCGCCCGGAGUCCCUGCCACCGCGGCCUGCUGCCGCCCAGAGUCCCUGCCCCCCCGGCCUGCUUCCGGCCCAGAGUCCGUGCCUUUGCGGCCUGCCGCCGCCCGGAGUCCCUGCCCCCGUGGCCUGCCGCCGCCCGGAGUCUCUGCCCCCGCGGCCUGCUGACGCCCGGAGUCCCUGCCUUUGCGGCCUGCCGCCGCCCGGAGUCCCUGCCCCCGCGGCCUGCCGCCGCCCGGAGUCCCUGCCACUGCAGUCUGCCGCCGCCCGGAGUCCCUGCCACCGUGGCCUGCUGCCGCCCAGAGUCCCUGCCCCCCCGGCCUUCUUCCGGCCCAGAGUGCGUGCCUUUGCGGCCUGCCGCCGCCCGGAGUCCCUGCCCCCGCGGCCUGCCGACGCCCGGAGUCCCUGUCUUUGCGGCCUGCUGCCGCCCAGAGUCCCUGCCUUUGCGGCCUGCUGCCGCACGGAGUCCCUGCAUUUGCGGCCUGCUGCCGCCCGGAGUCCCUGCCUUUGCGGCCUGCCGCCGCCCGGAGUCCCUGCCUUUGCGGCCUGUUGCCGCCCGGAGUCCCUGCCUUUGCGGCCUGCCGCCGCCCGGAGUCCCUGCCCCCGCGGCCUGCCGCCGCCCGGAGUACCUGCCACCGCGGCCUGCCACCGCACAGAGUCCCUGCCUUUGCGGCCUGCUGCCGCACGGAGUCCGUGCCCCACCCUCUCCUUUUGUUUACCGUGUCACAGAGGGCGGUAUUUCCCUGCCUUUGAGGCCUGCUGCCGCCUGGAGUCCCUGCCUUUGAGGCCUGCUGCCGCCCGGAGUCCCUGCUGCCGCCCAGAGUCCCUGCUGCCGCCUAGAGUCUUUGCUGCUGCCCAGAGUCCCUGCUGCCGCCCAGAGUCCCUGCUGCCGCCUAGAGUCUUUGCUGCCGCCCAGAGUCCCUGCUGCCGCCCAGAGUCCCUGCUGCCCAGAGUCAUUGCCUUUGCGGCCUGCUGCCGCCUGUAG
rnacentral:lncRNA from 1 species